rnacentral:piRNA from 1 species
UAUAUUCAUAAAACGACGAAC